AUAGCUCAGUGGUAGAGUGCUUGCUUAUCAUGCACGAGGUGCUGGGUUCUAUUCCCAGU
rnacentral:tRNA from 1 species